rnacentral:rRNA from 1 species
UGUGAAGAAGGCCUUAGGGUUGUAAAGCACUUUCAGCAGUGAGGAAAGGUUGGCCGUUAAUACCGGUCAGCUGUGACGUUAACUGCAGAAGAAGCACCGGCUAAUUCCGUGCCAGCAGCCGCGGUAAUACGGAAGGUGCAAGCGUUAAUCGGAAUUACUGGGCGUAAAGCGCGCGUAGGUGGCUAGGUCAGUCAGAUGUGAAAGCCCCGGGCUCAACCUGGGAACUGCACCUGAUACUGCCUGGCUAGAGUACGGUAGAGGGUAGUGGAAUUUCCUGUGUAGCGGUGAAAUGCGUAGAUAUAGGAAGGAACACCAGUGGCGAAGGCGACUACCUGGACCGAUACUGACACUGAGGUGCGAAAGCGUGGGGAGCAAACAGGAUUAGAUACCCUGGUAGUCCACGCCGUAAACGAUGUCUACUAGCCGUUGGGGGACUUGAUCCUUUAGUGGCGCAGCUAACGCGAUAAGUAGACCGCCUGGGGAGUACGGCCGCAAGGUUAAAACUCAAUAAAA